UACGUAGGGUGCAAGCGUUAAUCGGAAUUACUGGGCGUAAAGCGUGCGCAGGCGGCCUCUUAAGUCAGAUGUGAAAUCCCCGGGCUUAACCUGGGAACUGCGUUUGAAACUGGGAGGCUAGAGUGUGGAAGAGGGGGGUGGAAUUCCAGGUGUAGCAGUGAAAUGCGUAGAGAUCUGGAGGAACACCGAUGGCGAAGGCAGCCCCCUGGGCUGACACUGACGCUCAUGCACGAAAGCGUGGGGAGCAAACAGG
rnacentral:rRNA from 2 species